UGAAAGAGCGAAUGAACCAAAGUAGUUAAAGAACUUAAGAUGAGUGUUAGACAGUAACAUUUAAGGUGUAAAAAAAUGAAUAAAGAAUAUGAUUGUAAACGAUGAGAAGAUCGUUAAGACGAAAUGUAAGAGAAGGUAAGGAGUUGUAUAUUAAGGACUGAAAACAUAACAGGAAUGAUGAUAACGAUGAAUAAGAAGAGGAUCGAUUAGCAGGGAGCAAGAUGCAUAGGAAAGAGGAUAAGAGGUAGUAGUUGUAAUGAGUGACGAAUAUAAUAACGACCGGUAUCAAGAGAAUGAAACCUCGAAUUAUAAUGAAGUAUUAGGUUAGAUAAUAACAUUAAAAUUAAAAUGAAGUUAAGAUUAGGGGACGGACGAUGUAUAGAUGACGACGAACGUGAGAACAAGUAAUAAGAUAUAAAGUCGUUUUAUUGAGGAGAAUAAGUAGGAAAGAGUUAAUAACAAUUGUGAGGAAAAACCUAGAUAUAUAGAGCGGAGACUUUGCAUGUAAUGAUAGCGAAUAAGAAAACAACUUGAGACCAAGAAUGAGGAAUAGGGUAUGAUAUUAGGAAUAAAGUUUAUAGAUUCUAGAAUAGAUGAGAGAAUAAUGUAUGUUCGUAAAAUGAAUACUAAAAUAAAAUAUAGGGAAGUUGACGUAGAAUUGAAUUACGC
rnacentral:lncRNA from 1 species